rnacentral:rRNA from 1 species
UCUCCGUUAGUAAACUAGCGGAGGGAUUAUUA